GUGUCAGCCGCCGCGGUAAUACGGAGGGUGCGAGCGUUGUCCGGAAUCACUGGGCGUAAAGGGCGCGUAGGUGGCGCGGGUAGUCAUCGGUGAAAGCUCAGGGCUCAACCCUGAGUCGGCCGGUGAUACUCCCGUGCUUGAGUGUGGUAGAGGCCAAUGGAAUUCCGGGUGUAGCGGUGGAAUGCGUAGAGAUCCGGAAGAACACCGGUGGCGAAGGCGGUUGGCUGGGCCACAACUGACACUGAUGCGCGACAGCGUGGGGAGCAAACAGGAUUAGAAACCCUAGUAGUCC
rnacentral:rRNA from 1 species